rnacentral:lncRNA from 1 species
GAAUCUAACAUGGAUAGGGUAAUUCUGUGUCUGAGCAUCCAAAAUGCUUUGCAGAAACACUCCUUUUGAACAGCAAGGGCACCAAUUUGUAACCCUAAUUCACAGAAUAUAAAGAGGAGAGGCAAAUCAGUGAAGGAAGAGAGACAACGAAAAUCAGAGGCGGAACAAUUGACAAACCCUAAUCACCAAAUCAAAGACAAACCUGUGAGCUUCAUCGUUGCCGUUGUCACCGCCGAAGGUUAGUUUUUGUUUAGCCAUUGCUUUAUUACUUGUUUGAGUUCGAGAUUUUGAGAGAGAUUCAUCGAGGGUGACGAGGGUUAAGAUUGACGAGGUCGUGAGAGGUGAGUGAAUGAGAGGUUGUGAGAGGUGAGCAGGGGUUGAGGACGAUGAGGGUUGAGAGAGAGAGAUUUUCUGAGUUUGACAGAGAACUCGUAAGAUGCGAGAGAGAGGGAGGAAGACGAACCUCUGUGUUCUUUUCCCGUUUCCAUUUUUUUCUUUUUUUGUUUUCCUUUUUUUAAUUAAUUAAUUCUUUUUGUUUUAUUUAGCUUAAUUUGCUUUUUAACAGAGAUAAUAAAACCCAUAAAAAUGUUUGUUUUGUUUUUU